rnacentral:rRNA from 1 species
UACGGAGGAUUCAAGCGUUAUCCGGAUUUAUUGGGUUUAAGGGGUGCGUAGGCGGUCGGAUAAGUUAGAGGUGAAAUCCCGAGGCUCAACUUCGGAAUUGCCUCUGAUACUGUUCGGCUAGAGAGUAGUUGCGGUAGGCGGAAUGUAUGGUGUAGCGGUGAAAUGCUUAGAGAUCAUACAGAACACCGAUUGCGAAGGCAGCUUACCAAGCUACUUCUGACGUUGAGGCACGAAAGCGUGGGGAGCAAACAGG